CCUACGGGAGGCAGCAGUGAGGAAUAUUGGUCAAUGGGCGCGAGCCUGAACCAGCCAAGUCGCGUGAGGGAAGACUGCCCUAUGGGUUGUAAACCUCUUUUGUCAGGGAGCAACGCCGGCUACGUGUAGCCGGACUGAGAGUACCUGAAGAAAAAGCAUCGGCUAACUCCGUGCCAGCAGCCGCGGUAAUACGGAGGAUGCGAGCGUUAUCCGGAUUUAUUGGGUUUAAAGGGUGCGUAGGCGGAAUGCCAAGUCAGCGGUAAAAUCGCGGGGCUAAACCUCGGCGAGCCGUUGACACUGGCUGUCUUGAGAUGUCGAGAGGUAUGCGGAAUGCGCAGUGUAGCGGUGAAAUGCUUAGAUAUUGCGCAGAACUCCGAUUGCGAAGGCAGCAUACCGGCGGCGAUCUGACGCUGAGGCACGAAAGCGUGGGUAUCGAACAGGAUUAGAUACCCCAGUAGUC
rnacentral:rRNA from 1 species